rnacentral:lncRNA from 1 species
CAUAAAAAUACACGGAAAUUCAUGCAUUGAUUUUUUUUUUUUAAUUUUGUAACUUUAAUUUUUAAUUUUUAGUCAACCAAAUGACACAAAUAUUUACAUAAUAACUCGGGACAGCGCCCAGUUUUAAUUUUAUUUCAUUUAUUUAAUUGAAAUAUUUCCACAGUCUCUUCUGGUAACCAGCUCUAGUCUCAUGGCCAGCAUUAUGUGCUACCAAUAUGCCUAGACUUAAUUUUAAAAUGCCAAGACGUUGUUCUUCGUCUUCCUCUUUUUCAGUUUGGCUCUAAAUUAGUUCAAGGAUUAGUGCAAUAAAACUAACGGGCCACGGAUUUGCGCAGCCCUUUUGUUGGCUUAGCGAAAGGGGCCUGCGAGGAAGGCAUGUCACAAUUUCCCAAUUAGCCACUCAUUGAGAUAAAUUUCUUAUGCAAAUGAUGACAAGGCCAAGUAAGGCAUUUGAGGGGAAGCCAGAGCUGGGGCAGGAUGCCGUGACAGGCGCUGAAGUGGCAUUGGCAUCCAAAUACUCGUACAUCCCCAUGCUGGUCGGGGAGUUUGGGACACGACCUGAGCAGAACGGAACCAAACCGAAUCCCCAGCAACGCCCUGACAACCACUGCCAGGAAGAACAACUAAAGCAGCGACAGCGACGGAC